AAUGGGCGCAAGCCUGAUGCAGCAACGCCGCGUGAGGGAUGACGGCCUUCGGGUUGUAAACCUCUUUUAGUAGGGAAGAAGCGAAAGUGACGGUACCUGCAGAAAAAGCACCGGCUAACUACGUGCCAGCAGCCGCGGUAAUACGUAGGGUGCAAGCGUUGUCCGGAAUUAUUGGGCGUAAAGAGCUCGUAGGCGGCUUGUCGCGUCUGCUGUGAAAUCCCGGGGCUCAACCCCGGGCCUGCAGUGGGUACGGGCAGGCUAGAGUGCGGUAGGGGAGAUUGGAAUUCCUGGUGUAGCGGUGGAAUGCGCAGAUAUCAGGAGGAACACCGAUGGCGAAGGCAGAUCUCUGGGCCGCUACUGACGCUGAGGAGCGAAAGCAUGGGGAGCGAA
rnacentral:rRNA from 1 species